rnacentral:rRNA from 1 species
GACGAACGCUGGCGGCGUGCUUAACACAUGCAAGUCGAACGGUGAAGGGAUCAGCUUGCUGGUUCUGGAUGAGUGGCGAACGGGUGAGUAACACGUGAGUAACCUGCCCCCUUCUUCUGGAUAACCGCAUGAAAGUGUGGCUAAUACGGGAUAUUCUGCGCCUGCUGCAUGGUGGGUGUGGGAAAGAUAUUGUUUCGGUGGGGGAUGGGCUCGCGGCCUAUCAGCUUGUUGGUGGGGUGAUGGCCUACCAAGGCGGUGACGGGUAGCCGGCCUGAGAGGGUGGACGGUCACACUGGGACUGAGACACGGCCCAGACUCCUACGGGAGGCAGCAGUGGGGAAUAUUGCGCAAUGGGCGCAAGCCUGAUGCAGCGACGCCGCGUGAGGGAUGGAGGCCUUCGGGUUGUGAACCUCUUUCGCCAGUGAAGCAGGCCUGUCCCUUGUGGGUGGGUUGACGGUAGCUGGAUAAGAAGCGCCGGCUAACUACGUG